UGGGGUAUGGCUGAAUUGGUAGAAUGGUUGCUUAGCAUGCAUGAGGUCCUGGGUUCAAUCCCCAGUACCUCCA
rnacentral:tRNA from 1 species